AAAAACUAGAAGAGAAAUAAAACUUGUAAACUACUGUAAAAACUGUUUAAAAACUAUGUACAACUAUUGUUUCUAGACAUGCAUCUGAGGCAAGGACAGAGAGUUCUGAUGUGGACCAUGGGGCAAUGAGAAAAAACUGAAGAUGCAGUCAGUCCGCCUUGUCCUUUAUCACCUCAGAUGGAAGCAUGAGGCAAGCCAGAGUGCAUGCACGGACCAACAGAUACUACUUUCAAAUUCUCCAACUCCAGACGCAUGGCAUAAAUGCGUAACCCCUCAAUGGAAUAUAAUUGGAGAGAAUCAUUUGAAGAACCACCAAUGGAUCCUGGAGCUGGAGGGAUGCUGCCUGGAGGCUCAGGUCUGAAAAUCAACCAGGAAUGCUGGAAAGAGGACAGACAUAGGAGGUUCUGUUCCAGAGCACAAGUGGUAGAAAGAAACUGGACAGACAGCUGGCCCAUGCUGCACUGUAUGCACUUGGUUGGGAGCAUGAGGAGAUGCAGAUCAACAGACACUGCUAUUGAAGAAUUUCUGGUCCUGGGCACAUAGAGCACAUGUGCACCCACGGGGGCCAGCUCUUAAAAAACUGAUGGUAAUUUGGUGCAGUACAGUAUAACUCUGUACUAGGUACAAGGACGUGUUCUUAGGGCACUGGAGUCAUACAAAAAAAAAAUGCAAGAGAUACAGUGGGUUCUAUAGCCGUGGACGGAUUUCUCUGUACUUGUUUCAUUUUGGGGGGCCUUGGACACAAAUAGUUUUUAAAAAUAAUUAUAGCUAUGACUAGGUGAAAAUUUUUUUUUGCUUUU